rnacentral:lncRNA from 1 species
AGUACAACACACACUCUACGAAGAAUGGAACCCACAGGCUUAAAUCCUUUAAUAGGCUGACUCAUGAGAGAUGGGGUGACUAAUCCUAACUUCGUUGCUAUUACAUUCCCAUUAUUGACUCCAAAAUAACUCUCUUUCUUAUGUAAUGACUUAUGUACUCUUUAAUUUUUAAUACAACAGAAACGAAAAUUCACCACCCUACACAAGAGAAAUAAAUGCAGCCAUUAAGACUGUCUGUGCUGCUACCCACAGACACCCUCAUCUCAUUUAUCUUUUUCAAGGGCCCUCGCUGUGCCUUGCUGAAGGUCUACCUUGCAACAGCGAUCCUAGCUCCCCUAAUUCACACAUUAGCUGACUGGAUUAUUAUCUUUUUUUCUGUAGGUAGCUUAUUUAUUCCUAAAUUAUACCAAGGGAAUAUGCCUGUAUAUGAAUAAAAGAAAAGAAUGCUUGUUGGACCCGCA